rnacentral:rRNA from 1 species
AACAUUUCACAACACGAGCUGACGACAGCCGUGCAGCACCUGUCUCAGAGUUCCCGAAGGCACUAAGCUAUCUCUAGCGAAUUCUCUGGAUGUCAAGAGUAGGUAAGGUUCUUCGCGUUGCAUCGAAUUAAACCACAUGCUCCACCGCUUGUGCGGGCCCCCGUCAAUUCAUUUGAGUUUUAACCUUGCGGCCGUACUCCCCAGGCGGUCGACUUAACGCGUUAGCUCCGGAAGCCACGCCUCAAGGGCACAACCUCCAAGUCGACAUCGUUUACAGCGUGGACUACCAGGGUAUCUAAUCCUGUUUGCUCCCCACGCUUUCGCACCUGAGCGUCAGUCUUUGUCCAGGGGGCCGCCUUCGCCACCGGUAUUCCUCCAGAUCUCUACGCAUUUCACCGCUACACCUGGAAUUCUACCCCCCUCUACAAGACUCUAGCCUGCCAGUUUCGAAUGCAGUUCCCAGGUUGAGCCCGGGGAUUUCACAUCCGACUUGACAGACCGCCUGCGUGCGCUUUACGCCCAGUAAUUCCGAUCAACGCUUGCACCCUCCGUAUUACCGCGGCUGCUGGCACGGAGUUAGCCGGUGCUUCUUCUGCGGGUAACGUCAAUCGACGAAGCUAUUAACUCCAUCGCCUUCCUCCCCACUGAAAGUACUUUACAACCCGAAGGCCUUCUUCAUACACGCGGCAUGGCUGCAUCAGGCUUGCGCCCAUUGUGCAAUAUUCCCCACUGCUGCCUCCCGUAGGAGUCUGGACCGUGUCUCAGUUCCAGUGUGGCUGGUCAUCCUCUCAGACCAGCUAGGGAUCGUCGCCUAGGUGAGCCGUUACCCCACCUACUAGCUAAUCCCAUCUGGGCACAUCCGAUGGUGUGAGGCCCGAAGGUCCCCCACUUUGGUCCGAAGACGUUAUGCGGUAUUAGCUACCGUUUCCAGUAGUUAUCCCCCUCCAUCGGGCAGUUUCCCAGACAUUACUCACCCGUCCGCCACUCGUCACCCAAGAGCAAGCUCUCUGUGCUACCGUUC